AUGUUCUAUGUGACUAAUUUUUAUUGUUGUAUGGUACAGGUUAAGAAAUCAAUGGAGGAUGCUACCUUUGUGGCCUUUUGCCAUGUUAUUGCAGACAUGUUCAGUGGCAUUAGUAAGUUUAGCCUCCUGCUUCAGAGGAAUGACAUCAUCUUACCACAGGCAGUUUGUGGCCUUGAAAAACUGCUGGUGACCACAGAGGCAAUGGCUGUGAGACCCAAGCCUGGGGGAAGACUGUCAGAGUUCCUGGCUGACCUGAGGCUGCAGAGGAGGAGGCAGCAAGAAAAGGGUGAAAUGGCAAUCUACAAAUUCCGGACAAUAACACUCAAAGGACAGGCAUCAGAGCUGGCAGGAGAUAGUGUUGGUGGCACUAAACUUGAAAAAGUAAUGGAUGUAACGAUCAUAUCCACUGUAAAACAUCUGAAAGCAAGAUUCAGUAGCCUCCUAGGGGAGAGUGCUUCUGGGUCUGACACAGCCAAGGCUGUCAAAUGUUUCAACAUUUUCAAUCACGAUAGCUGGCCAGAGAACCAAGAAAACUUAGUAGACCAUGGUGCUGAUGACCUUGCAUUUCUCUUGGAUCACUUCUCCACAGUUCUGAGAAGAAAUGGUGUAAACACUGACCUUGCAAAAGAAGAGUUUGUGGGCUUAAAGCUAUUAAUUGCAAGGAUAUUCAAAGACAAGACCUACCUCAGCCUUUGGGAGCUCAUGUUGACCAGAGAGCCCUAUUGCUCACAGUACAAGGUCAGUUUUUGUUAAUGUUCUUUCUUAAGAUUGUGUCAGUUUUGCUAUCCAACACACAUCGCUUAAAUAAAUCUCUUGAAUGUAUUUUUUUCCAGAACAUCCUGCAUCUUGUACACAUUAUGCUGGUCCUCCCUGUCUCAGCUGCAGUUUGUGAAAGAGGAUUCUCUGCACAGAAGAGGAUCAAAUCAGACACUAGGGCAUCCCUCCAUUCAGACACAGUUGAAGAUCUGAUAAGAAUCAGUGUAGAGGGACCAAGUCUGGAAGAUUUUGACGCUAGAGAGAGUGUGGGAAGCUGGUUUAGCCAAGGCCAAAGAUCAAGAAGGCCAAACUUCCUUAGUUGGCCAUCAGAGGGGCAUGUGACUGCAAUUGAGGUCCAUAGUCCAUAAGACCUGGAGCCAUGAGAUGUGUUUGAAGUUUCAGUUUAAAACACUUAAUUUAGAUUUUCUUUUUAUUUCACUUAUCUUCUGAUGUUUUAAGUUUAAAUCGCAGCACAGUGAAGCUGCAAUAAUUAUUCAAAUAAAGAACUUUAUGUUGACCAGAUUCUUAGUUCAUCAUUUACAAGUCAAUAUUGCCUAUAUGGACAGCUAUUUAAAAAACGUUAACCUGUAAAACUGCAGUGUUGAAUGCGAUAUGGUUGACAAUUUGGGUGCACCUAACUUUUGUGCUGGUGCACCUAAGAAAAAAAGUUAGGUGCACCAGUGCAACCAGUGAAAAAUGUUAGUUUAGAGCCCUGUGGUAGGUUCAGUGGCAAUUUGGUUUGACUGGGUCGCAUUAAUAUCAACAGUGUGAGCAGGGCGAACUGAAUAAGCGUCAGUCUGCAUGGUAUUUGAUUCAACAUUACCCAUCGCACAUUGCACCACGGUGCGUCAACACAUCAUCAACAGCAUCUUUCAAAAUCAUUAAAUCAACCAUACCACUGUCCUCUGAAUCAAGCAACUGCUUACUGUACAUGAACGCGUUGAUGUAUUCGAAACAUCCCUCCUGGUCUCCCUCCUCAAGCUCGGACUGUUCUUUGCCCGACACUGGACCCACGGUCUUGGUAAGUUGGUAGAGCUCUUCUCCUGACAAGGCGAGUAGACUCUUCCUAAUGUCCCACACUAGGUGCUUCCUUCCACUGUCAGCCAUAGUUGCUCCUCUCCUACCUCACGAUAGGUUAUACAGUUCGGUAAUGCAGUCUCUGUUCUGGGACAGGGUUCUCCACUCGUUUCACGUUCACAGCAGGCCUCCACACACGUCAGCGUCUGCGUUUGUCAUUGGUCCCAGAUGUCAUUAGGAUGGAUCAGCGUCCGGCCAGAAGGUGGCGCCGAUCCCGGACGAGCCCCCAAGAAUCUGUAACGGGUCCCAGGUGGGAUCGCCGUGGACAGAUUAUAGAUAACUGAAACAAAGAGAAAAGAAUGCUGACACGGGAGACGUUACUUGUCUUUUCAGAUCCUCAUUAGUUAUAUUUAUUCAUUUAACUUCUCAAUUUACUGAAGGUUACCGUUUAUCUUCACAUUGUCCAUGCAUUUUAAACUCAGCAUCAUAUUACUCCAUAUGUUGUCUAAUUAGACAUAUUUUCCAUGUUCUUAAAACAAACCAAAAUACACAAAAAAUACUCUUCAAUUCAAAACACACCUUUUCUCACAGUGUUGUUCUUUCAUCUCUCUGAUACAAUAAACAGUUUGUACAAGGUGCAUCUUUAAUGCUCUUCAAACCCAAUAGGUUUUACUGAACUAGUAUUUUUAACAGAACCUACCUUGUAGGCUAUAUCAAACAUUUUCUUAUUACUGAACUUCAAAUAACUUUUCUUAACCCGUUUUUAACAGUAUCUAUAAAGUGCUUUACAACAAUCAAUAAACAUUUGAAUACUUUACAAAACGUCAAGAAGUGAGCCACGUGUGGCGUUAUUACAAUAAAACAAAAAGGUAGAGACGAGCGUGGUUGGUACUAGCUUAAAGCUACUAGCCUAACGGUAAAACUUCCAACGGCGCCGUCAUUACAAAUCUCUCGGCGAGCGUCGGACCUUACUAGCUAGUAGCUUAAAGCUACUAGCUUAACGGUAAAACUUCCAACGGCGCCGCAAUUACAAAUCUCUCGGCGAGCGUCGGACCUUACUAGUAGCUACACAUGUACUCAUUUUAACACUCAUACUUUACUAAAACAUUUCACUACACAUUAUCCAAUCACUAACAUCAACUUGUUUUACAUUUUAAACACAUAACCCACCUGAAACAAAGAGAAAAGAAUGCUGACACGGGAGACGUGAUUUGUCUUUUCAGAUCCUCAUUAGUUAUGAGGAUCUCACGGGGAUUCAGGCAAACCACAAUAUUACUGUGCCUCCUACUGGCAGGAUAGUGCACUUGCAUUGUGAAAAUGUAAAACUAUAAAAGAUAUUGCUCAUACAAAAUAAGAUCAAUUUAGUAGGAAAUAUUGUGUCUUAAUAAUAUAAAAUGGUGUAGUAUAUAAAAACGUAAUAUACACAAAUGUGUAUAUAUUGUAGGGA
ensembl:lncRNA